UCGUUAGACACAGAACCGACACAGGCCACGCCUGGUGCGAGGGUGAAUCAUAACGGUCUGGUAAAUCGCAAGGCUUCUGCCGGCGAUGGACUGCGCAAGUUUCUGACCUAUCAGCUUCCGACGCUAGGGUAUUGGCCUACCGUGGCAAUGACGGGUGACGGAGAAUUAGGGUUUGAUUCCGGAGAGGGAGCCUGACAAAUGGCUACCACAUCUAAGGAAGGCAGCAGGCGCGCAAAUUACCCAAUUCUGACACAGGGAGGUAGUGACAAGAAAUAACAAUAUGGGGCUUAUGUCUUGUAAUUGGAAUGAGCCAGUUCUAAACCAAUUUGUGAGUAUCAAUUGGAGGGCAAGUCUGGUGCCAGCAGCCGCGGUAAUUCCAGCUCCAAUAGCGUAUAUUAAAGCUGUUGCGGUUAAAAAGCUCGUAGUUGGAUCUCUGUCGAGGACAACCGGUCUGCCCUCUGGGUGUGUGUCUGGUUUGGCCUCGGCAUCUUGUCAGGGCACCGUAGACAUUCCUGUUGCGGGACCCUGCGCCUUUACUUUGAGGAAAUUGGAGUGUUUCAAGCAGGCACAUGCCUU
rnacentral:rRNA from 1 species